rnacentral:misc_RNA from 1 species
AAAAAAAAAAAAGGCCAACUCAAUCGUCAGUACUAAUACUGGGCCGCUUAUAUAAUUAAUGAAAGUAGAGGUUAUUUUAUGAAAAUUAAAGAAACUAGGGCUGAUUUUGAAAGUAAGAUUAUGAUAUAAGCACCUGCGAGGGUUUAUUGAGGGUUUCUGGAGCUAGUGCAGAGUCGCCAAGCAAGGAGGAGAGGAUGUCUCACAGGAAGUUUGAGCA